rnacentral:rRNA from 1 species
UACGGAGGGGGCUAGCGUUGUUCGGAAUUACUGGGCGUAAAGCGCACGUAGGCGGCUUUGUAAGUUAGAGGUGAAAGCCCGGGGCUCAACCCCGGAAUAGCCUUUAAGACUGCAUCGCUUGAACACGGGAGAGGUGAGUGGAAUUCCGAGUGUAGAGGUGAGAUUCGUAGAUAUUCGGAAGAACACCAGUGGCGAAGGCGGCUCACUGGACCGUUGUUGACGCUGAGGCGCGAAAGCGUGGGGAGCAAACAGG